rnacentral:rRNA from 1 species
AGUGAACGCUGGCGGUAGGCCUAACACAUGCAAGUCGAACGGCAGCACAGUAAGAGCUUGCUCUUACGGGUGGCGAGUGGCGGACGGGUGAGGAAUACAUCGGAAUCUACUUUUUCGUGGGUGAUAACGUAGGGAAACUUACGCUAAUACCGCAUACGACCUACGGGUGAAAGCAGGGGAUCUUCGGACCUUGCGCGAUUGAAUGAGCCGAUGUCGGAUUAGCUAGUUGGCGGGGUAAAGGCCCACCAAGGCGACGAUCCGUAGCUGGUCUGAGAGGAUGAUCAGCCACACUGGAACUGAGACACGGUCCAGACUCCUACGGGAGGCAGCAGUGGGGAAUAUUGGACAAUGGGCGCAAGCCUGAUCCAGCCAUACCGCGUGGGUGAAGAAGGCCUUCGGGUUGUAAAGCCCUUUUGUUGGGAAAGAAAAGCAGCAGGUUAAUACCCCGCUGUUCUGACGGUACCCAAAGAAUAAGCAACGGCUAACUUCGUG